ensembl:lncRNA
AGCAGCGCUCACCCAGCGUGCGCACGUUGUUACCAUCUAAACUGUCUUGAGUGUCUUUAUUUCGCCUGAAGAAUGUCUUGUUUAAAUAUUUACUCCUUACAUUUAUUUGGUCCUUCGAGCCAACAGAGUGACCUCGUGCGUUUCCUGGAUUCGUGAACCCACGCUGCAAAGUCUGUCGCGACAGCCUGUUUCUAGUGAAACAGUAAAGACCAACUACGUGAAUUCGCCGUUGGCCAGCGUUUUUAGCAAGAGGUCCACGAUCCCAGGGAGCGAGGAGGAUUCUCUCUGACCGGCAUUUUCAUCCGAACCAGGUGAAUAUAAACACUCAAGAACACAUUGCGGCUAAAAUCGGUUUUUAGAUUGACACGGUUCUUAAAAGACUCGUCCUUUAAGGACUGGAGGUCAGGGAUCUCACUCUCACGAGUGAAAGGACUCGCCUGUAAGACGGAGUUUGACGGUCCUGUGUGGGGUCACUCCGCAGUUUAAAAGGUUGAAGUCAGGGAUCUCACUCUCACGAGUGAAUGAAAAUAAAGGAUCUCACUCUCACGAGUGAAUGAAAAUAAAGGGAUCUCACUCUCACGAGUGAAUGAAAAUAAAGAACGUGUCAAUUAAAAUAGGAUUAUAGUACCGCGUGUGAAGUUUAUGUGUUGUUGAAGAGUGAGUGACCUUUUGAAUAGAAACAACAGGUUUCUGCACCACUCUUACUGUUUCCUGUGUUGACCGAUGUACUGGUGAGAAGGGGUCAAAGGUUGCGCUUCAACGCAUAAAAUUAAGGCCGCCCUGGGUCUAGACCAGGGUAGAAGGCUGCCUUAAUAACCUCCCCCGACUCUAAUAUCAGCGAAGGUCACACAGAGUGUAUGUUGGCAGUAUUAAUAAAUAAAAGUAAAACAAGGUAGUUCCAAAUAUAAUAAAUCAAAAAAAUAUAGGAAAAAUAAAAUUAUAAGCAAUUUACAAUAAAAUAUUAUUGAUAAAUCUAAGCCCAAAAAAUGGGAAAUAAACCCGCAAAGCCUGAAUUGACUGCAGAUGAACUAUGGUUAGAAAAGAAAUGCCCCGGUGCAGGACAAAUAAGCGCAAACAGAUGGAGAAAUCCUAAAGAAAACCUAAAUGUCCCACGUGGGAGGGAAAAUGUAUAACUAAAUUAUAAGAAACCCUCCAAGCAGAAAUAAAUACUGAAAAGGAAGCUAAAAAGAAAUCAAAACAUACACAAGAGUUGUAAUAUUUUAAAGCAUGGAAAGAGGAAUGAAGUGGAAUAAACAAAAGGUUAAAUUAAGGUUAACUUAAAUUAAAGCAAUGAAAUAAUAUUGGGAAGACAACCAAGCUGAAUGAAUGGAAUGCGUGAAACCAGAUAAUUCACACAAAAUAUAUCAAAUAAAAAAAAGAGAGAUGCAUACGGCAUAUUAAGGCUGUGUCAUUGUUCAGCCAAGGAAAAUGUCUCCAGCUUGGGAAAGGGUGAGACUGCAGCUCACCCUCAGCCCUUGGUGGACACAAAUAAAAUAUUGUAAUAUACUAUUGCUGUUAUAUAAAAAGAUAAUAACAUUACUAAUGAAAUAAUAUUACAUAUGAAGAGGCACCUCAGUCAGUUGUGAUGUGAGGUGGAUAAUUGUUAAAAGUAAUCUGCAUCAAGCUUAAGGUUUGCUCAAAUUCAGUAUAAUGACAUAUGAGAUGAAGAAAAUAAAGAAAAUAUGUAAACUAAUUAAGUGCAUAGAGACACUUGAUCCGCUUGUAAACCUGUCAUCCUAGAUGAGAUUUUGUUAAGAUGAAGAGCAAACCUAUACUACCAAGCUAAUAAGCAAGAUACACACUUUUUAUUUUGUAUUAAUUUUUUUUGUUUUUCAGAGCAGAAACUGCAUGAUAUUAAAGCUCGAACAUGCAGCUGUCUGUGAACCCAGUUUUCACCCUCACACCCCUGAUCUGUUUUUAACAGCAGCUUUUUGCAUCCUGUCUCAUGUGUGUAAAGCGUUCAUGCCAUCAGCAACUUGUUUUUGUUUGUUUGUUUUGUUGGUUUGAAAAACAAAUCUGUGAUCAUACUUGAGGAUCACAGUGACACGAAAUGAUUAGGCACAUGAUUUACUGAUGCCUAGUUUUAGAGCUGUGAGCUACGAGCUGUAAGCAAUGCAAAGUUUUUCCCAACUUAGAAGUUUGACGUAUGUAACAUGUAUGAGAUAUAUGAAUUAUUUUAAAACGAAAUAGAAAUUGUCCAAAAUGCCUUAAGAAAAUAUGUAGUGCUGUAUCUACAGAGACAAAAGGAAGAAGAAGCAUUCAGUAACUUGGAAAUAGCCUUUCUACUUACAUGUAGAUGGAAGUGCAGGUUACAUGAAAGCUGUUUUAACACAGGCAUUUGGAGAAAAACAACGUCUGCUUGCAUUUUACUUCUGCAAAUUAGACUCUGUUGUGUGCAGGCCGGUGUAGCUGCAGCAGAGGCAGUAAAGGUCAGCUGACAUUGUUUUAGGACACACUUUAAUCAUCAAAGUGCCCCAUGCUGUGACUUCUGAAACAGCUCUCUUCAUGCAACUUCAUGCUUGAUGAUGAUAAUUUCGGAGCCAGCUGAGAGCUGGGUUGAGAGCGAUGCUUUGUUUUAAGUGACAAAGCAGAAAAGUUAAACUUAGUUUGUUUUUGUUUGUUUGUUUGUUUUUUAAUACGAGAGAAUGGUAAUGGAUAAGAAGUGAUAUUUUGUUUAAGUGAAGGCAGAAAGCUACUAAACAAAGAAAAGAAGUUAUAUACAAUGCGCGAUAGCCACAAGACUAAGCAUUCACAUUCUUUCUGACUCUUAAUGAGCCUGAGUUAUGACCUUGGCUCCCUAUUUUUCUGCCUCCACCAGAGAUGGGAGUGAAGCUCCCGUGGAAUGUGCUCUGUUCUCCUUACUGCAUCUAUAAAAAUAGCAUUCAGUAACUUGGAUAUAACCUUUCUACUUAUAUUUAGGUGGAAGUGCAGACUAGAUGAAAACAGUUAAAUUCAACAAAGAGUUCGAUUACUCUGGAGAAAGCGGGAAAUGUGUCUGUAACAGGAAAAGCGUGUAACAGGAACUACAUGCCCAUACAAAGGAGCUGACUGUGUCAAGACGCAGACAGACAGAGAGACACAGAGACAGCCAAUAUGUUUACUCUAACUGUUUUAAUAGUUUUGCAAUUUUCAUUAGUUUUAUUUUUCUUUAGUUUUGACUUAAGAUUUUAAAACUAAACACAUUUUGCUACAAAAUCAGUUAAUUUUGUGACCACUCAUUGCAGUUUUAGACAGUUUUACUUUUGUUUUUAUUUUUAUUUCUGUUAACGAAAGAAUAUUUUUUUUUUUUUUUUUUUUUUUUUUUUUGACUUCUAGUUUUGUUUUUUCGUUGGUUUGACUUAUCAAUAAUGAAUUUGAUCUGCAGUACGCCAUUUUGGAAAUAUGGCAUAACAGAGGGCGACAAUUUUGCAGACCAAGCAGCAAAAUCAGUAGCAGUACAAACAGUAGACGCACUUAUGGUGACAACACCUCUAUGCAAAUUCCACUGGAUAUCUUGAGAAAUGAACCACACAUUUGUGCCAUUACUAGAGCGAAAGAAAUGGUUGAGGUGCGGAGCAAUUCUACAGGAUGAUCUGAUCAUAUGUGAUGGGAAACCGUUACAACCGAAGUCUUUAUACAAAAACAGUAGCUCUUGUGACACAUGAAGUUGUUCAUGCGUCAACAGGAGGGAGUCUAAUUAGUUAAAAACACUAGUUAAAGACACUUCUAUGCAUAAAAUUUCAAACAAGUCAAUAAGAGAAACAACUCUAGCAGAGUGGAUGACAAAGUUGCUGGAAAACAGAGAAAUAGUUUUGAACAAUCAACUGCCGAGUGAUUCUCUUCCAGUUUCUUGCAGGUUGAAAAAGGGUUGAACCAAUCCAAGAACCACAAACUCCCGAAUAGAAAAGUGAGCAGUAAAGUCUAGACUGCAGACCGCUCUAACCUCUGGUGUUCACUCGGUGGGGAGAAGGGCUAUCAGUGGCAACACUGAGACACUCGCUCCUCUUGCUGGGUGUCUACUCAUUGGAGGCCAAGGGUGUGUCCACGGUCGAGAAGAGGAGAAACGCUCACAGAGGGAGACCUGAUGGAGAUGGAAAUACUAAAUGCAAACCAGGAUGCCCCUGAGGGUGAGAGACCGCACAGACGACGUCGAUGCUGGACAAGAGGAUGCCAACUGACCACUGUCACAACGAUGUGUUCCAUGCUCGUGUUCACAGUAUUCUUAUCACUGGCCCUGGUAGGCAUGAACACGGCCUGCACCAGCAACCCAUGUGACCCACACUGCCCGAGGAUUUACCGGCAGGCUCCAAAUGUGACGUGUCCUGAAAGGGGAACCAUUUUAAGCUGCAGCCUAUGCCCAGAAGAAC